GCGUGAGUGAAGAAGUCUUCANGGAUGUAAAACUCUGUCAAGAAGGACGAUAAUGACGGUACUUCUAAAGGAAGCCCCGGCUAACUACGUGCCAGCAGCCGCGGUAAUACGUAGGGGGCGAGCGUUAUCCGGAUUUAUUGGGCAUAAAGAGCGUGUAGGUGGUAUUUUAAGUCAGAUGUAAAAUUCUUCAACUCAACUGAAGUUUGCAUUUGAAACUGAGAUGCUAGACACUAGUACAGGAAAGCGGAACUUACGGUGUAGCGGUGAAAUGCGUAGAUAUCGUAAGGAACAUCAGUUGCGAAGGCGGCUUUCUGGCCUAGAUCUGACACUCAAGCGCGAAAGCGUGGGGAGCAAACAGGAUUAGAUACCCUGGUAGUCCACGCUGUAAACGGUGUUCACUAGGUGUUGGAGGUAUCGACCCCUUUAGUGCCACAGAUAAUUCGUUAAGUGAACCGNCUGGGAAGUACGGCCGCAAGGUUGAAACUCACAGGAAUUGACGGGGGCCCGCACAAGCAGAGGAGCAUGUGGUUUAAUUCGACGAUACGCGAAAAAACUUACCAAGAUUUGACAUCUAUAGACUUCUUAGAAAUAAGAAGUGCCC
rnacentral:rRNA from 1 species